GAUGAACGCUAGCGGCAGGCUUAAUACAUGCAAGUCGAGGGGCAGCAUGGUUGUAGCAAUACAACUGAUGGCGACCGGCAAACGGGUGCGGAACACGUACGCAAUCUACCCAAAACUGAUGAAUAGCCCUCCGAAAGGAGGAUUAAUACAUCGUAACAUAAUUGAAUGGCAUCAUUUAAUUAUUAUAGCUCCGGCGGUUUUGGAUGAGCGUGCGCCNGAUCAGGUAGUUGGCGGGGUAACGGCCCACCAAGCCUGCGAUCAGUAACUGGUGUGAGAGCACGACCAGUCACACGGGCACUGAGACACGGGCCCGACUCCUACGGGAGGCAGCAGUAAGGAAUAUUGGUCAAUGGACGCAAGUCUGAACCAGCCAUGCCGCGUGAAGGAUGAAGGUCCUCUGGAUUGUAAACUUCUUUUAUGUGGGACGAAACCCUGGUAUUCUUACCAGAUUGACGGUACCAUAGGAAUAAGCACCGGCUAACUCCGUGCC
rnacentral:rRNA from 1 species